GAUGAACGCUGGCGGCGUGCCUAAUACAUGCAAGUCGAGCGAACAGACGAGGAGCUUGCUCCUCUCACGUUAGCGGCGGGCGGGUGAGUAACACGUGGAUAACCUACCUAUAAGACUGGGAUAACUUCGGGAAACCGGCGCUAAUACCGGAUGAUAUAUUGCACCGCAGGGUUCAAUGGUGAAAGACGGCUUUUCUGUCAGUUAUAGAUGGAUCCGCGCGGCAUUAGCUAGUUGGUACGGUAACGGCUUACGAAGGCAACGAUGCGUAGCCGACCUGAGAGGGUGAUAGGCCACACUAGAGCUUAGACACGGUCCAGGCUACUACGGGACGCCGCAGUAGGGAAUCUUCCGCAAUAGGGGAAAGCCUGACGCAGCAACGCCGCGUGAGUGAUGAAGGCCUUCGGUUCGUAAAACUCUGUUAUUAGGGAAGAACAACUGUGUAAUUAACCGUGCACGUCUUGGCGGUACCUAGUCAGAAAGCAACGGCUAACUACGUG
rnacentral:rRNA from 1 species